GAUGAAGAACGUAGCGAAAUGCGAUAAGUAGUGUGAAUUGCAGAAUUCAGUGAAUCAUCGAAUCUUUGAACGCACAUUGCGCCCCUCGGUAUUCCGUGGGGCAUGCCUGUUCGAGCGUCAUUUAACCCCUCAAGCCUAGCUUGGUAUUGGGUGCUUGUCCCGCCUCUCGCGCGGCGACUCACCUCAAAGUCAUUGGCAGCCCGCAUCUCGCCGGCCGUGAGCGCAGCACAGACGCGCUCUUGGCAACGACGGAUCGGCUCUCCAAAAGCUUAUUUCAACCACUGACCUCGGAUCAGGUAGGCAUACCCGCUGAACUUAAGCAUAUCAAUAAGCGGAGGA
rnacentral:misc_RNA from 1 species